AGCAGCCGCGGUAAUUCCAGCUCCAAUAGCGUAUAUUAAAGUUGUUGCAGUUAAAAAGCUCGUAGUUGAAUUUCGGGGUCAGUAGGUUGGUCAUGCCACUGGUAUGUACUGGUCUCACUGAUUCCUCCUUCCUGAUGAACCAUAAUGCCAUUAAUUUGGUGUUUUGGGGAGACUGGACUGUUACUUUGAAAAAAUUAGAGUGUUUAAAGCAAGCUAACGCUUGAAUACAUUAGCAUGGAAUAAUGAAAUAGGACGUUCGAUCCUAUUUUGUUGGUUUCUAGGAUUGACGUAAUGAUUAAUAGGGAUAGUUGGGGGCAUUAGUAUUCAAUUGUCAGAGGUGAAAUUCUUGGAUUUAUUGAAGACUAACUACUGCGAAAGCAUUUGCCAAGGAUGUUUUCAUUAAUCAAGAACGAAAGUUAGGGAUCGAAGACGAUCAGAUACCGUCGUAGUCUUAACCAUAAACUAUAGACCGACUAGGGAUCGGAUGAUGUUAAUUUUUAANGUACUCAUUCGGCGUACC
rnacentral:rRNA from 1 species